GGCUUCGACGUGAAGAGCACUUGCUCAUGGCUGACAUUCGGAUCAGUUUAACAGCCGGUUUCUCGGGACUAAGCCGCCGCCGCGGAGCCAACGUUGGAAUGGAAGCAGCAACCACCCGGCCGCCUUCUGGCGCAGGUUGCGGCGCCAUGGGAUUUACCUGGUGCCAGGAGCUACCCAGCGGAGGCGCCUUGGAGGCUGGAGCGGUCUGCUUGCGUGCGUCAAACCCACAGAAGGGGGAGCUCCCUGCCAUCUCCCUACCACCCUACCUACCAACGUCGGCCAUUGGGAGCGUGGCAGAUCAGGGAGAAGCACUACCGGCCGAACAUACGAGUGCAACCAAGAAGGCCACAUGAGCAGGGACUGUCCCACUGCUCACUGUGGGGGACGACGAGGAUGCCUCAUGUGUGGCGAGGAAGGCCACAUGAGCGAAAAUUGAAUGCAGACACGUAGGCGGGACACACCCAGAUGUGGGUCACUACGCUUGGCGUGCGGCCAGAUUACGUGUUUUGUGUGUAUUUUGUUCAUUAUUAGAUCGUUAUAUAUAAAGAAAUUCUAAAAUUUCUACUUUUUUGAUGAUUAGGAUAAUAAAUAUAUUCUUCCACCGUCUA